AUCCUUUUGUAGUUCAUGAGCUUGAUGAUUGGUGUUCAUGCCGUCAGGGACAUGUGCCUCCCUCAAACCUUGUUAUGACCUUGGCACAUUACCCAACUGAUG
rfam:Canis lupus familiaris chromosome 9, whole genome shotgun sequence.